GUGAACAUUUAAUGACAAUCUUAGAAAAUGUAGAUGCUUUUAAUGAAAAAGAAUUACAAAUUAUACAGAAGAAAACAGGCGGAAAAAGGUAUGAAGAUAUUAGAUAUAGGAAGAUGUGGUGUGAGUGCCAAUGAGACAACUCUCCAUCCAAAUAACAAUUUAUAAAAGUCAACCAUUAUAGGUCAAUGUAAGGCCUUCAACACGGAGCAUUGGCUCACACCGAACAACAAGCUACAAAGGGUCCCAAAAGUUAUUUUUAUGCCCCGAUUUAGGUGAUGGUCGCAUUAAUUGUUACCCUUGUCUGUUUCUAGGUUCGUCACAAAAUUAAUUUAUGUUCGCUCCCUUUUGUUUGUCUCUACCAAAUGUUAUGAAACUUAAACACAAUGCUUAUUACCAUAAAACACAGAUCAAGUUGGGAUUUAGGUAGUGUCACUUUUUGAGUUCUCUAGUUUUGAUGCCAUAUGUGUCCAUUGGACACAUUCUCCAUUUAUUUGUAUAUACUUAGAUUUAAGAAGAUAUGCAUGUAUAUGUAAUAUUAAGAAUCAAAGAGGAAACUUCUGCAGUUUGUGUUAAAAAUUCAUACCUAAUAAAAAUUGCAUAACCCAUAUCUGUGUCAAUUAUAAAACUUUAACAUAUUAUCAUAAACUUGUUAAUCAAUAAAAUGCCUUCAAAUAUUAUGCAAUUCUCGUAUAUAUUUCAACUCUUUUGAAUAAUACAUUGCUGUUUUUGUGGUACAAUAUCUUGUCUUUUUAUGAAAUAUAUAAAAUUGUUGAUCAAUACACCCCUGUAAUAUAAUGACUUACAUUUUUUCAGGUUGUGGAUAGGUAUAAAGAAAUUAUUAAUUCUCAUAGAGAUGGCCAGACAGGUAAAUAUAAUAGAGUUAUCUCCUCUUUGUUAACAUUUAAAUUUGAGAGUUAUCUGCUCUUUGUCCAGAUUUGAUAAUUGAAUCAUAACACAUUUUAAGAUAAAUAUAAAAAAAGGCUUUUGAGCUGAAACGUGUGCUUAAUCAGUUUAUGUAUUCAAUUCAAAGAAUCAAGGCAUUGUUAACUUUUAAAGUUUACUGUGAAGAAAAUAAUUUAAAAAUCAUAAACUGAAGGAACUAGAGUAAGAAAUGUUGAAAAAAUGGUUAUAUGACAUUGUUGUGUGUUUUCUUUGCAGUGGCAUAAAUAUGCAUUUCAAAAAAUAUUAUUUUGAAAAAUAUUUAAAAGUCCAUCAAAAACCUAGGGUUAUAUCAUGUACUAUGUGGAACAGUAAAUUGAAAGCUUUAUUUUAAAUAUUUAUGCAUAAAAUUCUUUGUAACAUUAUGUUUGAAUGAAUUGAUCAUUAAAGGACUGUACUUGAUUUUAAAUUUUUUUUUUUUUCAGAAUGAAGAAACACAAAGAAUUCCGAAGUUUUUAUGUUUGUUAGAAGAAGAAGCAGGGUUAGAAAUGUAGACUUAAUAAAAACAUUCCUUAUUGUAACAUGUUAGUGAAAUUUAUGACUUUAGAAUUUUUCAUAUCAGAUUUCAGGAUUUCACCUUAUUAGUGUGUAUUAUGGUGGAAGUAAAUACUUUACUAAUUAAUUUGGCUUGUUUAAGGUGGUACCUAACACUACAGGGAGAUAACUCUGUAAAAUCAGCUAAACGUUUUAAUUACGUUGUGUAGUUAAGGGAAUAUUAAGCUUCUCAAUGAUCAAAAUAAGUGUUUGUCAAACUGCUAUAUAACCAGUGUAAUUUUUCUUAUAAAACGGUUGGUUCAAAUUUUUUGAAAUUUUUAUAUUUUUGUAAAAGGGUCAAAGUAAAUACUUUGUCAACAUUUUAAGAAAAUUAAACGAGCCAAAUUAAUUUUAGUUUAAGUGUUGGGUACCACCUUAAUUUUGACAAAAAAAUUCAAAUUUCAAAAACUUAAACCACACAUUUUAUUGAAAAAAUUAUCAUACAAUAUAUAGCAGUUUAGAUGCUUGAUAUUUGCUAACCAAUAUAACAUUGAUUCAAAUGUUUUGCUGAUUUUUACUGAGUUAUCUCCCUUUAGUGUUUAUGUACCUUAGGAAUAAGGGAGAUAAUAAAUUGUUGGUAAACUUCUUGGUAACAAAUAUUGGGAUAGUUGAUAUAAGAUUUGUUUUUGGUAAUAUAUUUAUUUUGUUAAAGAAAAUGUAACAGACCUUUUUCUUGACUUUUUUCCUGAUUUGUCAGCAAUGGUGCACAGAACUAUGUCAUGGGAUUUUGCACAAUAGAAACUGUUUUGUUACCAGACAAAUUGAUGCACUCUUCUAUACUGCAUUUCUAUACAAACUGCAUUACUGUUGAAAUUGUAAAGAUCUCAGUCUUGUGUUUAUCAGAAAAGGAAUUGAAAUUGUCUCCCUUUUUAUAUGUAUGUUAAAUUUACUGUUAUAAGUAGAAUCCUUGUAUGCUUAGUUCUUUUCUAUUUGUAUUUUUUAAAAGUUAAUAUAUGAAAUAACAAUCAAAUAAUAGUUUGCUUGAUAAACAUAUGCUCGCUCUAAUUUAAAUAUUUAACAAUUGUUUUCUAAUUUAAUAUUUUGUUAAUAAAGAAUUGGGACCAACUUAUUUUUUUAGCAACUUUGAAAAUGUAAAUUAGUGACAUUUUGGUUUGAAAUGUACAUUGAAUUCUGUCUGAAUUCCGUAUUCUGACAUUGUAUAAUUGAAAUUCCAUUGAAAUGGUGAAAAUAUUAUUAUGAAGUCAGUUGAAUUAGAGAACUCGCUCUUUUUAUUUAUUUGCUGAAAUAUUAGGUGCACUUGACUGAACUAGAAUGGAAACGAAAUUCAUAAUGACGGACGAAUGGUUUUAAGUUUCACCCUGGAAACAUCUAUUCCAAUACACCUUAUCGCUAUUUGCCCGCCAUUACUGGAUAUCACACAGGUUCCCGUAAAAAUUUGACGUCAUAAAACAAAAUAUCUGACGCCAAAAUGGGAAAGUGAUUGUUGUAUGCGUCAAAAGUUCAAGCGGCCGGGUCAGCCGAUGAUAGCGAUAAGGUGUAUCCAGUUCCCUAAAAGAAACAAAAUUGGCUGUCUUAAGAAUUUCAUCUUGAUGUUAAAAAAGAUCAUAAUCCGAUUUAUUGUGAUAAAGAUAUAAAGUCUUGUAGAAAUUUUAAAGUGUUUUUCACAGUAUUGUUGAAUAUACUUGCAAAUUUUCAUCAAACACCAAUAGAUACAUUUCAUUUUCUUUGCUUAAAAUAUAAUGAUGUCUUUUGACCUAAUGUGUGAAAUUAAAAACAAGCAGAAAUGAAAGAUUGAGAAAUGAGACAUAUUUGAAGUAGUUGCACUUGUUUAUGUAGGAAGAUGGUUUGUUUGAAAUAAUGAUAAUUUAUUGAUUUAUUUUAUAAUAGUCAUGUGCAAUAAAAUUUAUAACCACACAUUUUGCCAGGUCACUUUCUUUAGAACAUUCAGUGCUGAUUUAAUUAUAAAAAAGGAUGUUAUUUUUAUGCCCCACUAUACCCCACCUAUGACAGUAGAGGGGCAUUAUGUUUUCUGGUCUGUGCGUAUGUUCAUCCAUCGGUUCAUUUAUUUGUCAGUUCGUCUGUCCAGCUACAGGUUAAAAAAAAUUGGUCAAAGUAGUUUUUGAUGAAGUUGAAGUCCAAUCAACUUGAAACUUAGUACACAUGUUCCCCAUGAUGUGAUCUUUCUAAUUUUAAUGCCAAUUUAAGUUUUGACCCCAAUUUCAAGGUCCACUGAACAUAGAAUAUGAUAGUGCAAAGUUCUGGUUAAAUUUUGUGGUCAAGGUAGUUUUUGAUGAAGUUGAAGUCCAAUCAACUUGAAACUUAGUACACAUGUUCUGUAUGAUAUGAUCUUUCUAAUUUUAUGCCAAAUUAAAGUUUUGACCAAAAUUUCACGGUCCACUGAACAUGGACAAUGAUAGUGUGAGUGGGACAUCCAUGUACUAUCGACACAUUCUUGUUUUAAAAGAGCAGUUAUAUUUGAAACAUAUUUGAAUAAACUCAUCAUACAUACCAGGAUAAAAUUUUUUCACUUUAUGUUUCCUCUACUAAAAAAAUAUCAUAAGUGAUUCUCAAUUCAUAAGGUUAAAAUGGUCACAUACAAUACAAAGAUGAAGAGCAUUGAGGUGUAAAAUUCUGAAAGGUUUAACUAGAGGUUCUGUGAGUUUAUUGUGCUAAUAGAGAUACAGAUAUUCAUAGUACAUCUCUGUGGUGAUAGUUUCUAAAAGGAAUAGAUCACUCUAUGACGGUUUCAGGC
rnacentral:lncRNA from 1 species